rnacentral:rRNA from 1 species
GACGAACGCUGGCGGCGUGCCUAAUACAUGCAAGUAGGACGCAGUUGCGAACGGGUGAGUAACGCGUAGGUACCUACCUGUUAGAGGGGGAGAACUAUUGGAAACGAUAGCUAAUACCGCAUACUAGUAGAUGGACCUGCGUUGUAUUAGCUAGUAGGUCGGGUAAUGGCCUACCUAGGCAACGAUACAUAGCCGACCGGAGAGGGUGAGCGGCCCAACUGGGACUGAGACACGGCCCAAACUCCUACGUGAGGCAGCAGUAGGGAAUCUUCAGCAAUGGUGGGAACCCGGACCGAGCAACGCCGCGUAAGUGAGUAAGGUUUUCGGAUCGUAAAGCGCUGUUGUUAAGGAGGCGGUACUUAACCAGAAAGGGACGGCUAAGUACGUGCCAGCAGCCGCGGUAAUAC